rnacentral:rRNA from 1 species
AGCGGCGGAUGGGUGAGUAACACGUGGGGAACCUGCCCUUAAGUCUGGGAUACCAUUUGGAAACAGGUGCUAAUACCGGAUAAUAAAGCAGAUCGCAUGAUCAGCUUUUGAAAGGCGGCGUAAGCUGUCGCUAAGGGAUGGCCCCGCGGCGCAUUAGCUAGUUGGUAAGGUAACGGCUUACCAAGGCGACGAUGCAUAGCCGAGUUGAGAGACUGAUCGGCCACAUUGGGACUGAGACACGGCCCAAACUCCUACGGGAGGCAGCAGUAGGGAAUCUUCCACAAUGGACGCAAGUCUGAUGGAGCAACGCCGCGUGAGUGAAGAAGGUUUUCGGAUCGUAAAGCUCUGUUGUUGGUGAAGAAGGAUAGAGGUAGUAACUGGCCUUUAUUUGACGGUAAUCAACCAGAAAGUCACGGCUAACUACGUGCCAGCAGCCGCGGUAAUACGUAGGUGGCAAGCGUUGUCCGGAUUUAUUGGGCGUAAAGCGAGCGCAGGCGGAAAAAUAAGUCUAAUGUGAAAGCCCUCGGCUUAACCGAGGAACUGCAUCGGAAACUGUUUUUCUUGAGUGCAGAAGAGGAGAGUGGGACUCCAUGUGUAGCGGUGGAAUGCGUAGAUAUAUGGAAGAACACCAGUGGCGAAGGCGGCUCUCUGGUCUGCAACUGACGCUGAGGCUCGAAAGCAUGGGUAGCGAACAGGAUUAGAUACCCUGGUAGUCCAUGCCGUAAACGAUGAGUGCUAAGUGU